rnacentral:ribozyme from 1 species
UUUUUUUUUUUUUUUUUUUUUUUUUUUUUUUUUGAUAGAACUCUGUAACGAACGUGCAUGCAAAAGGAAAAAGCUUGUUAUGUGAAAAUAAAAGCAAA